rnacentral:rRNA from 1 species
GAUCCUGGCUCAGGAUGAACGCUAGCUACAGGCUUAACACAUGCAAGUCGAGGGGCAGCAUGGUCUUAGCUUGCUAAGGCCGAUGGCGACCGGCGCACGGGUGAGUAACACGUAUCCAACCUGCCGUCUACUCUUGGACAGCCUUCUGAAAGGAAGAUUAAUACAAGAUGGCAUCAUGAGUUCACAUGUUCACAUGAUUAAAGAUUUAUCGGUGUACGAUGGGGA